rnacentral:rRNA from 1 species
CCUACGGGAGGCAGCAGUGGGGAAUAUUGGGCAAUGGGCGCAAGCCUGACCCAGCAACGCCGCGUGAAGGAAGAAGGCUUUCGGGUUGUAAACUUCUUUUCUCAGGGACGAAGAAAGUGACGGUACCUGAGGAAUAAGCCACGGCUAACUACGUGCCAGCAGCCGCGGUAAUACGUAGGUGGCAAGCGUUAUCCGGAUUUACUGGGUGUAAAGGGCGUGUAGGCGGGAAAGCAAGUCAGAUGUGAAAACCAUGGGCUCAACCUGUGGCCUGCAUUUGAAACUGUUGUUCUUGAGUGCUGGAGAGGCAGACGGAAUUCCUCGUGUAGCGGUGAAAUGCGUAGAUAUGAGGAGGAACACCAGUGGCGAAGGCGGUCUGCUGGACAGCAACUGACGCUGAGGCGCGAAAGCGUGGGGAGCAAACAGGAUUAGAUACCCGGGUAGUC